GAUGAACGCUGGCGGCGUGCUUAACACAUGCAAGUCGAACGGUGAACGAGGGAGCUUGCUCCCUCCGGAUCAGUGGCGAACGGGUGGGUAACACGUGAGCAAUCUGCCCUGGACUCUGGGAUAAGCGUUGGAAACGACGUCUAAUACCGGAUACGAGACGCGAAGGCAUCUUCAGCGUCUGGAAAGAACUUCGGUCCAGGAUGAGCUCGCGGCCUAGCGGGUAGUUGGUGAGGUAACGGCUCACCAAGCCUACGACGGGUAGCCGGCCUGAGAGGGUGACCGGCCACACUGGGACUGAGACACGGCCCAGACUCCUACGGGAGGCAGCAGUGGGGAAUAUUGCACAAUGGGCGCAAGCCUGAUGCAGCAACGCCGCGUGAGGGACGACGGCCUUCGGGUUGUAAACCUCUUUUAGCAGGGAAGAAGCGAAAGUGACGGCACCUGCAGAAAAAGCACCGGCUAACUACGUGCCAGCCGCCGCCGUAACAC
rnacentral:rRNA from 1 species